GUGAAGGGCCUGGAACACAAGUCCUGUGAGGAGUGGCUGAGGGAACUCAGAUUUUUUGGUCUGGAGAAGAGGAGGCUCAGGGGAGACCUUAUUCCUCUCUACAGCUACCUGGAAGAGUGGGGGGCCUGGAGGUUGUCCUCUUCUCACAGGUAACUAGUGAAAGGACUAGAGGAAAUGGCCUCAAGUUGUGCCAGGGGAGGUUUAGGUUGGAAAUGAAGAGCCAUUUCUUCUCAGAAAGAGCAGUCAGGCAUUGGAACGGUUUGCCCAGGGAGGUGGUGGAAUCAUCAUCCCUGGGGGUAUGAAACCAUAUUUAUUUUUCUUUUUUAUUUUCUUCUUUAUUUCUUUGUUUCUUUUUUUUUUUUUUUUUUUUUGAGAAAAUGAUAAAGUCACCAGCAGAUAGGCAGAACAAAGGCAGGACCUUCUAGGUCCUUACUGGGUGUUGGAGCACUAUCCCUGUUCCUUCCCACUAGCAAGCCCUCUGGCUGUGUUGGUCCCAGGCCUCACAUAAACUGACCAUUUUUGAUACAUGCAUAGAAGAAUCUCUUGCAACAAAUCAAUAUACAGAUAAAGUGUUCAUAUGUGCAUAACUACUGUAGUGUCAAUUCUCCUUUUAGUUUUUAUGCUGUAUUAUGAUGUGUCAACAAAUACAGGUUAUACAAGAAUUCUGAGCUCCGAGGCUGCAGUGUACAGUGCUGUAUUGCUAAACUUAUAGUUAUUUUUCCCUUAUUAAGCUUUCCUAGGAAGCAGCUAGCUGAUUUAUUGACAGCAAAGUGUCAGAAAAAGGUAACCUCCUCCUCCAGUGUGUCCUCCCUGAUGUUCCUUUUUCAUGAACUGUUAUCAAACCUAAACCAAAACAGUUCCUAAAACCAUUACCACCCACUUCUGUUUGCUCUGGAUGGGAGGGAAAGUGAAUCCCACUGAAGAGAAGAUUAUGCUGAAGAUGAUGUCUUCGCUGAAGAGUAAUUACUUUAAAUUGUGGAAGCUGGAGGAAUUGUCAGAAACAGGACCCCUUGAAAAAUGUGAUGCUUUAAGGAUUGAAGGACGAGGGACAUUUUAUGGGCUGGAUAUUACUGUUUUUUUAACUUAUUGAAAUAAAACUGACCAGUGAAAGGAGACUCUUAAAUGU
rnacentral:lncRNA from 1 species